CGUCUUCGGGGCAGGGUGCAAUUCCCGACCGGCGGUAUAGUCCGCGAGCCGCUUUGGCGGCAUGAACCGGCGCAAUUCCGGUACCGACUGUAAAGUCAGGAUGGAAGAAGACG
rnacentral:ncRNA from 1 species